rnacentral:rRNA from 1 species
GUGGGGAAUCUUCCGCAAUGGACGAAAGUCUGACGGAGCGACGCCGCGUGAGUGAAGAAGGCCUUCGGGUCGUAAAGCUCUGUCAUCAGGGACGAACGGCCGGUGGAGUGGAAAGCCACCGGAUUGACGGUACCUGAGAAGGAAGCCACGGCUAACUACGUGCCAGCAGCCGCGGUAAUACGUAGGUGGCAAGCGUUGUCCGGAAUUCUUGGGCGUAAAGCGCGCGCAGGUGGGAUCUUAAGUCCAUUUUUAAAGUUCGGAGCUCAACUCCGUGAUGGGAUGGAAACUGGGAUUCUUGAGUACCGGAGAGGAAAGCGGAAUUCCCCGUGUAGCGGUGAAAUGCGUAGAUAUGGGGAGGAACACCAGUGGCGAAGGCGGCUUUCUGGACGGUGUCUGACACUGAGGCGCGAAAGCCAGGGGGGCGAACGGGAUUAGAUACCCGAGUAGUCC